CCCUUAGAUGUUCUGGGCCGCACGCGCGCUACACUGACUGGUGCAACAAGUGUCUGACCUUGGCCGAUAGGUCUGGGUAAUCUUUGAACGCUGUUCGUGAUUGGGAUAGACCUUUGCAAUUAUGGGUCUUCAACGAGGAAUUCCUAGUAAACGCAAGUCAUCAGCUUGCAUUGAUUACGUCCCUGCCCUUUGUACACACCGCCCGUCGCACCUACCGAUUGAAUGGUCCGGUGAAAUCUCGGGACGGCGGCUCGGUCGCUUGCGUCCGACUGCUGAAACUUGAUUAAACCAUAUCAUUUAGAGGAAGGUGAANUCGUAACA
rnacentral:rRNA from 1 species